rnacentral:rRNA from 1 species
CUGGUGCAGAUUGAACGCUGGCGGCAUGCCUUACACAUGCAAGUCGAACGGCAGCACGGGCUUCGGCCUGGUGGCGAGUGGUGAACGGGUGAGUAAUACAUCGGAACAUGUCCUGUAGUGGGGGAUAGCCCGGCGAAAGCCGGAUUAAUACCGCAUACGAUCUGAGGAUGAAAGCGGGGGACCUUCGGGCCUCGCGCUAUAGGGUUGGCCGAUGGCUGAUUAGCUAGUUGGUGGGGUAAAGGCCUACCAAGGCGACGAUCAGUAGCUGGUCUGAGAGGACGACCAGCCACACUGGGACUGAGACACGGCCCAGACUCCUACGGGAGGCAGCAGUGGGGAAUUUUGGACAAUGGGCGCAAGCCUGAUCCAGCAAUGCCGCGUGUGUGAAGAAGGCCUUCGGGUUGUAAAGCACUUUUGUCCGGAAAGAAAUCAUUCUGGCUAAUACCCGGAGUGGAUGACG